GUGAAAUUUUUCAAUAAUUGUUUGAUUUCAAUUUGUAGUUCUAAUUUAUAACUAAUGUUGUGUGAUCAUCUGCAUCUAUACGUAUUGUUGUUUUGUUUUCAGGAGGUUGGAACUUGGAGUUUUAGAGCACUCAAAGCCUGAGAAGUUGUUUGCUACUUUUAUUCAUGCGAUGUUGGAACUUGAAGUGAAAGAGCUCUCAAAGCUUAAUAAGUUGCUUGCUCUUUUGAUUCCUGAGAAUAGGAAAGUUGUUGUUGUGUUUACUUGCUGACUAUUGUGAACUUGUGGCAAACUCCCAUGUGUGAUAUAUAAUAUAAGCUACGGAUGUAUUUGAUGUGAAGCUUGUGAAGUUGUGAACUUUGUGGGCGUUGAAGACCAUAUUGCAUGUUCCCUUUGUUGA